rnacentral:rRNA from 1 species
UACGUAGUGUGCAAGCGUUGUCCGGAAUUAUUGGGCGUAAAGAGCGUGUAGGCGGCCCGAUUAGUCCGCUGUGAAAGUCCAGGGCUCAACCCUGGAAUGCCGGUGGAUACUGUCGGGCUAGAGUCCGGAAGGGGCGAGUGGAAUUCCUGGUGUAGCGGUGAAAUGCGCAGAUAUCAGGAGGAACACCAAUGGCGAAGGCAGCUCGCUGGGACGUGACUGACGCUGAGACGCGAAAGCGUGGGGAGCAAACAGG